GACGAACGCUGGCGGCGUGCUUAACACAUGCAAGUCGAACGGAAAGGCCCUGCUUUUGUGGGGUGCUCGAGUGGCGAACGGGUGAGUAACACGUGAGUAACCUGCCCUUGACUUUGGGAUAACUUCAGGAAACUGGGGCUAAUACCGGAUAGGAGCUCCUGCUGCAUGGUGGGGGUUGGAAAGUUUCGGCGGUUGGGGAUGGACUCGCGGCUUAUCAGCUUGUUGGUGGGGUAGUGGCUUACCAAGGCUUUGACGGGUAGCCGGCCUGAGAGGGUGACCGGCCACAUUGGGACUGAGAUACGGCACAGACUCCUACGGGAGGCAGCAGUGGGGAAUAUUGCACAAUGGGCGGAAGCCUGAUGCAGCAACGCCGCGUGCGGGAUGACGGCCUUCGGGUUGUAAACCGCUUUCGCCUGUGACGAAGAGUGAGUGACGGUAAUGGGUAAAGAAGCACCGGCUAACUACGUG
rnacentral:rRNA from 1 species